GCAAGUCGAGGGGUAACAUAAGUGCUUGCACUAGAUGACGACCGGCGCACGGGUGAGUAACACGUAUGCAACCUACCUUUCACAGAGGGAUAGCCCAGAGAAAUUUGGAUUAAUACCUCAUAGUAUUUUUAAAUCGCAUGAUUUAGAAAUUAAAACUCCGGUGGUGAAAGAUGGGCAUGCGUUCUAUUAGUUUGUUGGUGAGGUAACGGCUUACCAAGGCUACGAUAGAUAGGGGUUCUGAGAGGAUAGUC
rnacentral:rRNA from 1 species